rnacentral:rRNA from 1 species
UACGGAGGGAGCUAGCGUUGUUCGGAAAUACUGGGCGUAAAGCGCACGUAGGCGGCGCAGCAAGUCAGGGGUGAAAUCCCGGGGCUCAACCCCGGAACUGCCCUUGAAACUGCAGUGCUAGAAUCUUGGAGAGGCGAGUGGAAUUCCGAGUGUAGAGGUGAAAUUCGUAGAUAUUCGGAAGAACACCAGUGGCGAAGGCGGCUCACUGGACCGGCAUUGACGCUGAGGUGCGAAAGCGUGGGGAGCAAACAGG